GAUCCAGCCAUGCCGCGUGUGUGAAGAAGGCUCUCGGGUUGUAAAGCACUUUCAGCGAGGAAGAACGCCUAGCGGUUAAUACCCGCUAGGAAAGACAUCACUCGCAGAAGAAGCACCGGCUAACUCCGUGCCAGCAGCCGCGGUAAUACGGAGGGUGCAAGCGUUAAUCGGAAUUACUGGGCGUAAAGCGCGCGUAGGUGGCUUGAUAAGCCGGUUGUGAAAGCCCCGGGCUCAACCUGGGAACGGCAUCCGGAACUGUCAAGCUAGAGUGCAGGAGAGGAAGGUAGAAUUCCCGGUGUAGCGGUGAAAUGCGUAGAGAUCGGGAGGAAUACCAGUGGCGAAGGCGGCCUUCUGGACUGACACUGACACUGAGGUGCGAAAGCGUGGGUAGCAAACAGGAUUAGAUACCCUGGUAGUCCACGCCGUAAACGAUGUCGACCAGCCGUUGGGUGCCUAGCGCACUUUGUGGCGAAGUUAACGCGAUAAGUCGACCGCCUGGGGAGUACGGCCGCAAGGUUAAAACUCAA
rnacentral:rRNA from 1 species